rnacentral:piRNA from 1 species
UGAGAUAACAAAUCGGAAGGUGACAGAGU